rnacentral:pre_miRNA from 1 species
AAAGAACACAGUUUUGCGUUUUUUGUCUAACGUUUAACCGCUAGUUUUAUUUAAAAAAUUAUGAUUGGUAUUUUUAUUGUUAUUAGAUGGUAAAAUAUGAAUAAUACUUUGUGACUAAUUUUUGUUAAUUUUUUAUGAAUUCUUUAAAUAAGAUGGAUGGUUAAACGUUGAAUACAGAAAUGCAAUGUUAUAUUUAAA